AAGGGGCGGCCUGCCUAACCAUGCAAGUCGAACGGGGUAUAUAAGCGGAAGUUUACGGAUGGAAGGUUAUAUACUUAGUGGCGGACGGGUGAGUAACGCGUGGGCAACCUGCCCCGUGCCGGGGGAUACCGCCUGGAAACAGGCGCUAAUACCGCAUAAGCGCAUACAGCCGCAUGGGUGUAUGCGGAAAGCUCCGGCGGCACGGGAUGGGCCCGCGCCCGAUUAGCCAGUUGGCGGGGUAACGGCCCACCAAAGCGACGAUCGGUAGCCGGCCUGAGAGGGCGGACGGCCACAUUGGGACUGAGACACGGCCCAAACUCCUACGGGAGGCAGCAGUGGGGAAUAUUGCACAAUGGGGGAAACCCUGAUGCAGCAACGCCGCGUGGGUGAAGGAGCGUUUCGGCGCGUAAAGCCCUGUCAGCGGGGAAGAAGAAAGACGGUACCCGACCAAGAAGCCCCGGCUAACUACGUGCCAGCAGCCGCGGUAAUACGUAGGGGGCGAGCGUUAUCCGGAAUUACUGGGUGUAAAGGGAGCGUAGACGGCGAGGUAAGCCUGAAGUGGAAGCCCGCGGCCCAACCGCGGAACUGCUUUGGGAACUGUUUUGCUGGAGUAUGGGAGGGGUAAGCGGAAUUCCUGGUGUAGCGGUGAA
rnacentral:rRNA from 1 species